GUUCCACAAGGCUGAACCGCUUCUGCCUCAUCAGCAGGAAUCCUGUUAAGAGGAAACCUUAUUUCCAACGUAAUUAUUCCCACAGAAUUUUACGCUUUUACUUUAAAACUGUUACUUUAAUGACAGUUACUUUAAUGAGGAAUCAAUGGUGCAACACAAGCCGUGAAAGACCCUCAAGUACUUUUGAGAUACCUCGGGAACCAAACGGAGCCACGUGCAGGGGGGUCCUCUGAGCCUGGCUCGACCCCGGCCCUCACACGCCCAGACGCAGGCGCGGCACACGCCCCGCCCCUCGCUGUGGUAUUCCUCGGACACCUACGGCGGAGGGGUCUUCCGUCGCCCUACUACGCAAGCGAGUUUACAGCCAAUUCCGAAGCAGAGACUUGGUAGGUGCGGUCGACGGAAACGUGAGAUGAUGGACAACACUGUUGGAUACCAGGAAGGCAUGUCAAAAAAAGAAGAGGACAAGGCUCGACAUUGAUCUUCCCGGAGAGCCGCCAAUGAUGUGGCUAACAAGACUGACGAUCAGCAACUACCCCGAACCAGCUCCAAGGACCAACAAAGCCAAACCGCCCACUUGGGAUCAAUUGAAGAAAUUGACCAUUGAAGGGGAAAAAUUGGUCAAAGAACAGGGACAGCCUUUGACCUCGGCUACCUUGUUUUUGGCUAUGUUACCUGUGGUAACUACCACGGUAGGUGCCAAUCAUACUAAGAGGCAUAUGUGCCCAAUCUUCCCCUAUUAAGACCAAUUACGUGGGAAGAUUCUUCUGUUCCAGUUUUCAUAAAUGACUCUUCUUGGUUACCAGAACCUUUUGACCCAAGCUUUCCUUUAUAACCAGCAGAAGAGGGCCAACAACUUUCAAAUGUUAGUGUUAAUUAUACUGUGGGAACAGAUCUUACACCUAUAUGUAUGGGAGUGGAAACUCAUUGUCUUAAAAGAGGAUUACAACGUUGGCUAUCUAUAGUUAAAGAACCUCAAGGGAACAAAACUCAUUUUUUCUUAUUAGAGGCAUUUUCAUUUAAUAUCACAGGAUAAAAUACUAUUAUCCACCCCAUAUACCUAACUGUAUUACUUUUAUAAAAUCUGGAAUAGAACAUUGGGUACAAUGGAAAUUAUAUAAAGCUAAAACUGGACAUAUUAUGGCCAAUACUUCUGAUGGAGAAAUUAUUGAUUGGAGUCCCAGAGGAUAUCCUUUGGAUAAAAAUAAUAAUUUGGAUUUGCCUAUAUUGUUAAAUAAUACUUUAGACUCCAUGAAUAACAUUGUUAAUAGCUCUGUAUAUUGGCAUGGAGGGAGUUUCUCUCCUCCCUUACCUUAAUCAAUUACCUUAAUUGCCUUUACAUUCAGAAUUGUGGAAAAUAUCAGCUGCCUUCCAACCAAUAACAGCAUGGAAGGGGCAAUUUAAUUUGACAGUAUCAGGUCAUUCCUUACAUUUUUAUAAAAAUUCAACCCAUUGGAUUAAAGCACGUGUUCAUUUACCUUUCAUAUUUUUGAUAGGACCUACUUUUUAUAAUGCCUCUUCUGGGUUACUUACCUAUCAAAAUUGUUUUUUACACUUGUAUCAAUUCUUCCCUCCAGUUUCAGAAUGACUAUUCUCUAUAUAUUCUAAAAACCAGAUCUGGAGGCUUCCUGUAAAAAUGAAUAGACCAUAGCAGGAUAGCCCCAUAGUCUAUAUUGUAGAACAGAUCCUUAAGAAAGUAUUAAAAUGCACUAAACGGCUUAUUGGAUUGUUAAUUGCUGCCAUUUUAGGAAUUAUUGCUGUAGCUACUACAGGAGCAGCAUUACAUCAGAGUGUACAGACUGUGCACUUUGUGCAAGAAUGGCAUAAAGACUCUGAUGUUCUUUGUUCCACCCAAAGACAAAUAGAUGGAAAAUUAGCUGCACAAAUGCCUGAUUUACAACAGGUUGUAUACAACUAGGUGAUCAAGUGAAUACUCUUCAAAAACAGAUUUGUCUUAAGUGUGAUUGGAAUAUUACUCCUUUUUGUGUCACUCCUCAUAAAUAUAAUGAAUCAUCGUUUCAUUGGGACAAAGUUAAACAACACCUCUUAAGGUAAUCUAUCUCUGGAUAUUAAUAACUUACAACAAGAGAUUAUGGAAACUUUCUCACAGAAACUACACCUUUUGACGGGGGAGCCUGGUGGCUGCCGUCUGUGGGAUCACACAGAGUUGGACACGACUGAAGUGACUUAGCAGCAGCAAUCUGCUGGAAGUAGCAGCAGAUGGAAUUUCUCAAUUAAAUCCCAUUCCUCACUUGAAAACUAUUGGAGGAUCAAUGGCUGGUUUUAUGUUAAUUUUUUCUGUUUCUACAUAGUCUGACAGCAAAUCACCAAGAAAGUCAACGGACAACAACAGCAAUUAGCAACUAUUGCUUUGGCUUCUGUGGUCAACAAUAAUCAUAAAAAAUAAGCCUCUAAAAAUAAAAAGGGGAUAUGUAGAGAAUAUGCUAUGCACAGGCCUGUACUAUAAUUAAAAGGGCUUCUUUGAAGAAUAAGAAUGACUUUCUUAUCACCCCCAGGCAAAGGGCUGGGAGCAGUAAAAAGUACAUCGUGGAAAAACAUCUUAAAAACAAGGUGUUGAAGUACUGAUGUGACUGAUGGAAAACCAUUAGUGACUGUUCUCAGACCAGAGACUUGAGGGAGUUGCUGAGGAAGGUGGUCACUAGCUGAAGGGCUAAACACAAUCAUGAAAGGCCUGAAGGUUUGAACAUUAACCAGAACAUUGAGGACUGUUCAUUGUAUAUAGUUGUCCCUGAUCUGAGAUUGUAAAAAACAGAUGUCUUUAGAGUAUGUACAAGGAAGUAGAUGUUAACAAUAAAAAGCAUUCAAGGAUCAGGAUCUUGGCUUUUGCCUGCGAAUGGCAUCAGCCCCCUGAUCCCCACCUUA